rnacentral:rRNA from 1 species
UACGUAGGGUGCGAGCGUUAAUCGGAAUUACUGGGCGUAAAGCGUGCGCAGGCGGUUGUGCAAGACAGAUGUGAAAUCCCCGGGCUUAACCUGGGAACUGCAUUUGUGACUGCACGGCUAGAGUGUGUCAGAGGGGGGUAGAAUUCCACGUGUAGCAGUGAAAUGCGUAGAUAUGUGGAGGAAUACCGAUGGCGAAGGCAGCCCCCUGGGAUAACACUGACGCCUCAUGCACGAAAGCGUGGGGAGCAAAUAGG